AACGAACGCUGGCGGCAGGCCUAACACAUGCAAGUCGAGCGAGGUAGCAAUACCUAGCGGCGGACGGGUUAGUAACGCGUGGGAACGUGCCCAAAGGUACGGAAUAGCCUCGGGAAACUGAGAGUAAUACCGUAUGUGCCCUUCGGGGAAAGGAUUAUCGCCUUUGGAUCGGUCCGCGUUGGAUUAGGUAGUUGGUGGGGUAAUGGCCUACCAAGCCGACGAUCCAUAGCUGGUUUGAGAGGAUGAUCAGCAACACUGGGACUGAGACACGGCCCAGACUCCUACGGGAGGCAGCAGUGGGGAAGUCUUAGACAAUGGGGGAAACCCGUGAUCUAGCCAUGCCGCGUGAGCGAUGAAGGCCUUAGGGUUGUAAAGCUCUUUCAGCUGGGAAGAUAAUGACGGUACCAGCAGAAGAAGCCCCGGCUAACUCCGUGCCAGCAGCCGCGGU
rnacentral:rRNA from 1 species